GAAGCGCUCUUCUUCCUCCUCCCCCCGCCCCCAUUCCCAACCUCACCUCUCUCCUGCCGCCUACUUCCCCGCGCUCACCGCCAUGCCCCUGCUUUGCCGGCCAGAUUCGGCCCCACCACCUCCUCCCCGGCUGUGCCCACCGCCCCAGCCUCGCCACCACUAGCACCUGAGAGGCUGAGACGAAGGCACCUUCUGAAGCAGACUGAUACAUCAAUGGCUCUGGAAGCUAAACCAUGAAGAGGUGGGAAUUUGAUAUUGUCGAUCAAGCUUCAUCUUUAAUCUCUUCUUGUUUCUCAGGAAAUCACUCUGAGAGUCAGAUCUCACAAGACUACUUUAACAAUACCUCUCCUAAAGGAUGUAUUUUAUGAUGCUCCAAAUGACUUGUUAACACCCAAAUAGGACAGCCAGAGUGUACAGAGCGAUGAUGCAUGAUGACUCUAGAGGGAUCACAAAUCAGAGGGAGACCACGGUUAUGUACAUAUGUGAAGAAAAUCCACGGGCCUUCUGCUGUACAAGCUCCAUUUGCAGGAGAUUGGAAGAUAAGAUGGUGGGUGGUAGAACACACUUUGUGGAGACAUGUGGAUUACCAAUCAGUACCUAUUUCAUUGCUCUGAAGCUAUUGUGGUUGAUGAAAAAUGUUGGUGCUAUCAAAGUAUGCAGUUCAGGCUGGUGAUUAAUUAUUUUGCACGAUUGACACCUGCCUGAUAUGGAAUCUUUAGGUCAUAAAAUUUUCUGGAAUUCCUAUCAAAAUUAAAGCCUUUCGGGAGAUAAUUCCUAACUUGGUUUGCUCCAAAUUCUUUUCUUUACCCGAAUAUAGUAAUUUGCAGCAUUGGUUCACAUUUGAUUACAAAAAUCUGCAUCUUUGUGUAGUAUCUUUUGUACCUUAAGGACAGGGAGAAAAACUGUAUGUGUUUUGAAGAUUAAAUACCCAUUCAGGGUGAA